GUACCUAUAGAGCAGAAGUUAGCUCAUUCCCCUUCCAUGGCUUAACGGAUAUGGUUCAGGGAAAGACCCGGGUGCAAGUCCCGGUGGGUGCA